AAAUUUUACACUUAAGUGGGUGAAUUUUAUAGUAUGUAAAUUCUAUUUCAGUACGCUGUUUUUCUUUUUUAAAGGUACAAAGGAGUCAGAUUUCAGGAAGAUCAAGUCAAAUAUUUGUUUGGCAUUUAAAGGAAUUUCAGGUUUUUAAAAGAAAGUAUUAAAAUGCCUGGACAGGAAUCCCUUUUCAUAUGAAUUUCUCAACUUGGGGUCCAAGACUAUUCGGAUGGAAUACAUUUGAAUACCAAACCCCUGUGAAGGAAUGUCUAUGGUUACAGAUUCUUAGGGGGAGAGGUUUUUUUUUUUUUUCUUCUUUCCAGAAGCCAGACCAAGAAAGAUUUUUUUUUUUUUAAUCCAUCUUUUCAUUCAACCUUAACAUUUGGAGAGUCCUGACUUCGUGCAGAAUCUAAAUUUUGUCUCCCUGCCUUACAUGGGCCUAAGGCCUCCGCUCCUUGUGUUAAAAUCCAAACCCUUGGAUUGCUGAACUAGUACCAGGAUAAGUGUACUCUUAUUGUCCUAGUUUUCAGUCCCUCUUUACUUGCGUUCCUUGGGAGAUUCCCUUAUUGCCUUGCAGGUUUAGCUCUGAAUCUGAAAAUGUUUGUUAAAUUUGAUCCAGCAUAUCUAGGUGUUUUGAAGGCCAAAUAUUUUCACGUUAUCUAGUUUCUGAUAUGGUGAUAGAAAUUCCCAUGCUUGUAGCUCCCUCCAAUCUGAUGCUUCCUCUUCCAUUCUUUCCCGCAGGAAUCCUUGUUCCAAUGCAGAUAAAAUUCCCUGUCAUUCCCAAAUUCUUUAGAAUGUUCCUUUACCUCUUUGCCUUAACUAUAACUUGGCUGUUCCCCCAGAAACGCUGCCAUGCCUAGAGCCAGUUUGAACUCUCUCUCUGAGAGAGUCUUGCGAUAAUUAUCCUUUUUUAAAAUAUAGGCUACAUUAUUUUAUACCCUUUCUGUGCACUCUCCUUUGUUUACUUAGGGCCUUGACAUGUGGGACAUUUCAACAUUUCUGUGGAUGACCUAACUAACCCACACCCUAACCUCAAGUCCUCCUGCCUGUCUUAAACCCGAGCUGCUAUAAAUCCUACCCACUUUUGGCCACCCAGUCCCAUAGCUGCACCUUUGUCUUUUCAUCAUCAUCCUGAACUAGACCAUUUUAGGAAUCUUAAACCUUGAUGCAUUGUGUAUACUCCUCUCAACCUGCUUGCCCUCCCAACUCUCUCACAAGUUUACACCUUGACUUUGUUCAGCCCUCUAAUCUCUCCAUGUCUUUCUCCUGGUCCAUUCACUCUCUUGCACUGUUACUCUUCUUUCUGCAUAUACCCCAUGGUGCAACACUCACCCACAUUCUUGCCAGCUACUUCAGCUUCUUCGAUUCCUUAUCUUUCUAUAGCAUUUACCAUGCAAAGUCUCUACCUGGGAUUAAUCUGUGAGCCUUCUCCAUCUCUAUACUUAAAAUAAAAAUAAGAUAAAUUGGUGCCAAUGGUGCAUGGUCUUCGGCCUCACUGGGCCCUCUGCACUGCGUCAGCAACCCUUUUACAAAUACUGGACCAGUGACUCCUUAGAAGCCUUGAGCUGAAGUUGGCAGAGCACAUAUAAAAAGACCUUAAGGGUCUGCAUUGCUGCUUAAGAAAGCCAUUUACUGAACAUGUUGGGCUUUAUUUGAACAAGAAAAAAACUUCAUUUGUGUUUAAGCCAUCAAAUAUUUGGGGAUUCAUUUGUUAUAGCAGCUACCGUUACCUUAAUUAAUGCAAUAAGAUACCAUUUUGAAUUUUUUUAUUAAAGAUUUUAUGAUUUUA